rnacentral:rRNA from 1 species
GACGGAGGGUGCGAGCGUUAUUCGGAUUUAUUGGGCGUAAAGGGUGUGUAGGCGGUCAGCCAAGUCUGAUGUGAAAGCCCGGGGCUUAACCUCGGAAGGGCGUUGGAAACUGGUUGACUUGAGUUCGGGAGAGGGAAGCGGAAUUCCGGGUGUAGAGGUGAAAUUCGUAGAUAUCCGGAGGAACACCGGUGGCGAAGGCGGCUUCCUGGACCGAAACUGACGCUGAGACACGAAAGCGUGGGGAGCAAAC